CCGCAAAUUUUGCUUUUCGAUGUUUUGCUUACAAUUUCUAAGGAUGUUGAAGUUUACAGCUUUGUGAUUCACUGGUUUUUGAAAGCAUCGGGGGUUUUUUCGUUGGAACUUGCAGGCUAACUCUUCAACAAGCUAAUGACCGUUUUUAAAGCAAAGCAAUUGAAAGGAAAACUUAUAUUUUCAUACGAAGAAGAUGAGUGGCGACAUUUAUGUUGGACUGUUUUGAGCAGAUGCUUUGAAGAACAUGAUAUAAUCGGACCUUGUAUCUUAAAAGUGUAAUUGGAACAGCCGAACAAAGUGGUAAAUGUUGUUACCCGGUGUGUUGGGCAUCAUAAUUCACAGGAAUAGUGCACAGCAGGGUUUAAACUGGCUAUGAAAUAUCGUGAAUACUUCGUCGAGUUCUCUACCGCCAUGUGACCUGUAAUUUAAUGUGACAGGCGUCUUUGAAAGGGCUUUACUUGACUUUAAUCGACGUGUAAGGUAUAACUUAGGUAAGCCAACAUUUCUUUGUAAUGCAAGCUACAUUUUCAUAUCUUUAAUGUGUGAAUAUUUUUAAUUUUGUAAAAAAUUAAUCGCAAUAUGUUGUUGGAAAAAGUAUCGAG